UUCACUGUGGCGUAGCGGUUAGCGCUUUUGUCUUCCAAACCAGAAGGGUGAGUUCGAUUCCGAGUGGAG